UCCGUAGGUGAACCUGCGGAAGGAUCAUUGAAUCUAUCGUGCCCACACCGCGAAACUACUUAUGCCCUUCUGGAACAGGCAAACUUUAUUGUUUGCCCUUCAGUUGCGCAGGUCAGGGGCUGGCUCCUUUUGGUGUCAGUUGACUUGACUGGGCGGGUCCAAUACCAGCCGGAUUCACCUUGCCUUCUAGGCUUGGGGUUCUGCCGGCUGUGAGGGRUGGCUGUUUAACUCACUUUAAGCAAUCAAUUCUGAAGGCAGAUCUAUAGGCUGGCUAUGCUGGCUGUAGUCUGAUUAAAUAUAGACAACUCUCAACAACGGAUAUCUUGGCUCCCGUAACGAUGAAGAACGCAGCGAAAUGCGAUACGUAGUGUGAAUUGCAGAAUUCCGUGAACCAUCGAAUCUUUGAACGCAAAUUGCGCUCGAGGCCUCGGCCAAGAGCAUGUCUGCCUCAGCGUCGGCUACUACCCUCAACUAAGUUUCCUAUACACAUAGGGGAUGCCGGUUGGAUCUGGCCGUCCGGUUUGCCUUUUAGGUUGCCGGUCAGCUGAAAUACAUUCACGCUCUGGGGGCUGCUUUCCUUCCGAGGAGAGGCGAGUUCCGAUUUGGUAGGUGACCUUUGCCGGUUGCAUGCCUUCGUUGCCCGCUAAGCUUUCCAGUAUGCGUUGUGCAGGACGCCUUUUGGCUUUCGACCUGAGGUCAGGCAAGAACACCCGCUGAACUUAAGCAUAUCAAUAAGCGGAGGAAAAGAAAC
rnacentral:rRNA from 1 species